GUUGUCAUGGCCAAGUGGUUAAGUUGAUCGACUAAAAAUCCAUUGGGGUCCCCCCGCGCAGGUUCAAAUCCUGCUGACAACG